rnacentral:tRNA from 2 species
AAGCUUAGCUCAGCUGGUUCAGAGCGUCUGCCUUACAAGCAGAGGGUCGGGGGUUCGAAUCCCUCAGCUUCC